AGGGAAUAUUGCACAAUGGGCGAAAGCCUGAUGCAGCAACACCGCGUGAGGGACGACGGCCUUCGGGUUGUAAACCUCUUUUAGUAGGGAAGAAGCCGCAAGGUGACGGUACCUGCAGAAAAAGCACCGGCUAACUACGUGCCAGCAGCCGCGGUAAUACGUAGGGUGCAAGCGUUGUCCGGAAUUAUUGGGCGUAAAGAGCUCGUAGGCGGUUUGUCACGUCUGCUGUGAAAACUGGAGGCUCAACCUCCAGCCUGCAGUGGGUACGGGCAGACUAGAGUGCGGUAGGGGAGAUUGGAAUUCCUGGUGUAGCGGUGGAAUGCGCAGAUAUCAGGAGGAACACCAAUGGCGAAGGCAGAUCUCUGGGCCGUAACUGACGCUGAGGAGCGAAAGCAUGGGGAGCGAAC
rnacentral:rRNA from 1 species